GACGAACGCUGGCGGCGUGCUUAACACAUGCAAGUCGAACGGAAAGGCCCUGCUUUUGUGGGGUGCUCGAGUGGCGAACGGGUGAGUAACACGUGAGUAACCUGCCCUUGACUUUGGGAUAACUUCAGGAAACUGGGGCUAAUAUCGGAUAGGAGCUCCUGCUGCAUGGUGGGGGUUGGAAAGUUUCGGCGGUUGGGGAUGGACUCGCGGCUUAUCAGCUUGUUUGUGGGGUAGUGGCUUACCAAGGCUUUGACGGGUAGCCGGCCUGAGAGGGUGACCGGCCACAUUGGGACUGAGAUACGGCCCAGACUCCUACGGGAGGCAGCAGUGGGGAAUAUUGCACAAUGGGCGGAAGCCUGAUGCAGCAACGCCGCGUGCGGGAUGACGGCCUUCGGGUUGUAAACCGCUUUCGCCUGUGACGAAGCGUGAGUGACGGUAAUGUGUAAAGAAGCACCGGCUAACUACGUG
rnacentral:rRNA from 1 species